GACUAAAGCGAUAUUAAACUGUGGUUUUUGCUAGUUGCUGGUGGUUGCCUUCAUUGUUCGGUCAGACUGGUGGUUUAGUUUUUAUUAGUUUUUUGCUACUGCUUCAUCCUUGGGACUGUUGUUUUUCCUAGCUGAUGUGUCUUUCCUGUGGCUGGCUGGCCUGAAUGAGGACCCACUUUUGGAGAUGUUUGUUCAUCCUACACCUGGUGAUGAAGAUUGGACCAGGAGCUGCACUCUGUGCAUUGAUUGGAUGCACAGACUUGAAGAGCAGUGGAGGGACAGAGGGCAUGGGAUCCAUGGACGUUCACCUAUCAGAUGAUGACAACAAGCACAUGCCAGCCAGAUGAUGAUGGUGAUGAAGAUGACAAAGAUGAUGAGGAAGCUGGAUGAACACCUGCUCAAUCCAUCAUGCUUGUUACACCCCAGAGGAGAUGAUGCCAGGACAGGAACAGACUAUUAAUGGGAAUAGAUCCAGGAGAUUGUAACUGAUGUAUUCUAAACACAGAUGAGGGACAUGAUAGGGCCAUUCUUACUGGAUAUGGUACAGGAUAUGCCAGGUUCUUUCAGGGAUAUAGCUUGUGAGUUCAUUCAUGAGUCUCAGCCCCGUCAGCCUGUUCCUUCUGGUCUGUAAGUAUUGCCUGUAUGCUCUACGUGUGUUAUGCUGCAAGAAUUAGCAUGUAAAUGUGUUUUAUUGAGAGCAAAUGACAGACAACAUGUAUUGUCCAUAGACAGCAAUAACACUGUGGUAUGAUUUGGAAUUGUGUAUUGCCAUAUCAUCUACAUGCAACAGAAGGAGAUGUCAUUUCCCAUCUAUUUUGGAUGUCAGUUGUCAUGAUGUCCGACUGGCAUGAUGUGUUGCUGUGUGUCAUGCUUUGGUAAUACUGAUACCAAGUGUGAUCGUAUACAGGUAUAUCAGAUGAUCUAUGUGCAGUCCUUGUUUUCUAACCACAUCAAACAGUAAUGUAGCAU